rnacentral:rRNA from 1 species
UACGAAGGGUGCAAGCGUUACUCGGAAUUACUGGGCGUAAAGCGCGUGUAGGCGGCUGACUAAGUCCGCUCUGAAAGCCCGGGGCUCAACCCCGGGAGGCGGGUGGAUACUGGUCAGCUCGAGUCCGGAAGAGGAGUGUGGAAUUCCUGGUGUAGCGGUGAAAUGCGCAGAUAUCAGGAGGAACACCAAUGGCGAAGGCAGCACUCUGGGACGGUACUGACGCUGAGACGCGAAAGCGUGGGGAGCAAACAGG